UUGAUGUGAACUUGAGUGGCAAGCGUUUCACCUCGAGAAAUUCAGUUGCUAUGAGUAGAACUGAUCGUGCUCUUGUCUCUGUUCAUUGAUUGGGGACCAAAACCUCUGCGCUUCUUGGAUGCUUGUUGGUCUUGGCCAGGCUUCUCUGACAUUAUCAAACACACUUUGGUCUAUUGUAUUUGGAAUCUAUUUUGUAUUUUAUUUGUUUGUUCUGUCU